UUUAUCUGCUUAAAUAUCCCAAGGAAACCAGAUCCCAUUUCAUCUUGGGUGCUAAUCAGGAUCAGUCCUGGUUUAGUGCUUGGAUGGGAGACCACCAAUGAAUAUCAGGUGCUGUAAGAU
rnacentral:rRNA from 11 species